rnacentral:lncRNA from 1 species
UUUCCUUGUAAUGGGAGUUGUUGAACAUCUAUGUCUCUGUCUAGGUCUCUCUCACGACACUCAUCACCGAAUCGACAUCGAGGCCCUACCUCGCUCGCCACCACAACCAGUUUGGCUUCCCCUCCCAUCCACAACUUAUUUGCUUCCAAACAUGAAUAUCCGAAACCCCCUCCAAAUUCCUCUCCACUUUCUAUGUUGAACAAACAAAAAAAGUUUUUUUUUUCCAACCCAAUUGAGGCUUUUUAGUAUUU